rnacentral:rRNA from 1 species
UACGUAGGGUGCGAGCGUUAAUCGGAAUUACUGGGCGUAAAGCGUGCGCAGGCGGCGCCGCAAGUCAGGCGUGAAAUCCCCGAGCUUAACUUGGGAAUGGCGCUUGAAACUACGGUGCUGGAGUGUGGCAGAGGGAGGUGGAAUUCCACGUGUAGCGGUGAAAAUGCGUAGAGAUGUGGAGGAACACCGAUGGCGAAGGCAGCCUCCUGGGCCAACACUGACGCUUAUGCACGAAAGCGUGGGGGAGCAAAACAGG